AUGCGCGUACUUGCCAUUUGGAUUGUGUGGGGAGCAUGCCUGAUAGAUCCCAAUCAUGGAGAUACCGUCACACAAUCGCUGCCGUCAGCACAGAAGGUGGAAGGAGAGUCGGUGACUUUCAGCUGCACCUAUGAUACCGCAGCAACGAGCUACUUCUUAUUUUGGUACCGGCAUCAUCAGGACUCAAGGCCCGAGUUCAUACUGUAUAAACGUUCAAGAGGAAACGAGGAGAAAGCCGAUUUUGCAGGCGAUCGCUUCUCUGCCCUGCUCCAGACCGAUAGAAAAUUUGUCAGUUUAACCCUAUCGGGGCUGGAGCUGAGCGACUCUGCAGUUUAUUACUGCGCUCUGAGCCUCACAGUGAUGAAAACCAAUGCCGCCCUCAGCACGGAGCACAGAAAGGGAGUCGGUGGGUUUCAGCUGCGCCGAUGA